AAACAAGGGAAGUUUUGCAGAAUGUGAUGAAAUAACCCAUGUAAGGCAGUCAGCACAGAGCACGGCCACGAGUGGCCGAGGGGAGUGGGCCUGGGGUCUCUCAGCUCUCCAGAGCCGAGGCCCACAGGAGGUGCCAGACCAGAGUCUGGGCAGGGGUCUGGCCCUCCUUGCCCCACCCCUCGUCGGUUUCCUAGGUGACCAAAGCCAGCCCGCGGGCUCCCCUGCGUGGUCGCCGCGGGGAUGGCACUCAGAGAACCCACCGCCUGGGGCUCCCCUGUGAACAAGGGGACCUCUGAGGGUCCUUCAGCCCCAAUACCCAGGUAUCCGUGGGGCUGGAUUCUGGCCGGGAACAGGGCUGGACCCCUAGGAGCCCGUCACAUGGGCGAGGCAAGCCAAUCCAGGAUGAUUCCGCUGACACGUAACGAGUUCCUGAAACAGUAUGAACGGGAGUGUUGUGAUGUCCAGCUGGGAAGAUGAUGUGAAUCUGGAGUUCUAAGUACCAGAAGGAUCCUAAGAAUGAAGCCACAGCAGAGGAAGCCUCCUUUGCAGCCAAGGAUGGCCAUGUGACCUUUCUGGCUAACCAGGGUCCCUGGAGAGGGUGGCCCUUCCUGAAUAAAAGGAAAUUCUCAUGAGGAGAAGGCAGUGUUUGUCCCCCUUCCCUGCUGCUUGGAAAGUGGGUGUGAGGCUGGCAGGUGCAGCCAACUUGCAGCUCUCAACGAGGCUAGCAAGCUAAAGCCACCCUUCCUCCCGGAUCCCUUGCAGCUGUGAUUCUGGAUGUGAAUUAGAUCCUACCAAUGGGAUUUGCUCCCAUGAGAUUUGGAAAGCAGCUCUCUUCUUGCUGCUCUUGGCAGUCUUUGCUGGCAAGUGACCUUGUGGGUGUCAAGAAUCAGUUGCAGCAGAGGACACAGUGCUGGACCCUCUGUCAUAGUAUCUGGACUCCGACUUCCUGAGGCUCAAGAUUCGGAUACCUAAUGUGGCUUCUAGUCCUUACACUGAAACAUGACUGAUACAAGGACCAAGAAGUGACCGUUGGAUUUAGAAACCUGGACGUCAUACGUAGGGCUGCCAUGUCAAAGGACCACAGAUCGGGAGGCUUCAACAACAGGAAUGUACUUUUUCACAGUUCUGGAGUCUGGAAGUCCAAGAUCAAGGUGUCAGCAGGGUUGUUUCUUCUGAGGGCUCCCCUUGGCUAAUGGUGGCCGUCUUCUCCCUGUGUCCCCACAUGGGCUUCCCUCUGUGCGUGUCUGUGUCCUAAUCUCCUCUUCUUAUAUGCACACCAGGCAUAUUGGGUGAGGGUCCACUCUCAUGACCUCACUCUACCUGAAUCACCUCUUUUUUCUUCUUCUUCUUCUUUUUUUUUUUUUUGAGACAGAGUCUUGCUCUAUCUCCUAGGCUGGAGUGCAAUGGCAUGAUCUUGGCUCACUGUAGUCUCUGCCUCCUGGAUUCAAGCAAUUCUCCUGCCUCAGCCUCCUGAGUAGCUGGAAUUAUAGGCAUGCACCACCAUGCCUGGCUAAUUUUCGUAUUGUUAAUAGAGACGGGGUUUCACCAUAUUGGCCAGGUUGGUCUUGAAUUCCUGACUUUGUGAUCCACCCGCCUUGGCCUCCCAAAGUGCUGGGAUGAAUCACGUCUUUUAAGACCUUGUCUCCAAAUACAGUCACAUGUGGAGUUACUGGGGCUUCAACAUAUGAAUUUUAGGGGAACACAGUUCAGUCUGCAGUUCCCCUAAAAACAUGCUCUAAUCCACAGAAGUGGGUCAAACACCAGGAGGACACUGCUGUGGAAGAGGAUGGAGAUUUAGCUUCCAAGGUUUUGGCUCUCUGGGGUCCCUGGUCCCCAGCCCUCCUCGGCCCAGUCUCCAGAUUCCCCAUCUUUGUGUGCCAAUAAUGGUGUCCAAUCUCACUCUCACUGACCAUGGAGGAAACCAGGGUGCAGUGGGUGUUUCCUGGAGGGGAGGGCAGGGGAGGGGAGGUAGGGUCGGUGGAUGGCAGCCGGAGGGGUCUCGAAGACAAAACCCCUGGGCUCCUUCUUUGUAAGAUGGGAGAGACCGGAUGUGAGAUGAGGGAGUCAGUAGAACGAGGCUGAGGACAUUGGAGAAAGAGCAGAGUGACACCCUAGAAGUGGGGAGAGGAAUACAAGAUAAAAAGGAGAAAGCCAGCCCCAUCACACUCACGCUGACAUUUAUCCAGUGUCUGCUACGUGCCAGUUUCCUUCUAGGUACAUGACACACAUACUUGCACCCCGUGCUCAUGGCUAUCCAGAGAGGGAGGUGCCCCCAUCAGCAAUGGGAGAGCAGUUUGCAGAGGUGAAGCCACUCACUGGGGACACACGGCCAGAUAGCAGAGGAGGCGGGUGGAGACACAGCCUGACCCCAGAGCUCGUGAGUGGGAGAGGUAGAAAGUUGGAGGAAGAGGACACAGUCAUCUUGAGACGGGCUUGAGUAGAGUGGAGACUGAGGUCACCUCUGGAAGAAGAAGUUGGUGUUUGAGAAUGGGGUUGGUGGGAAGUGGGGAGUAGGGGUGAGAGAGAGCCCCCUAGCAUUCAGUGAGGGUCCUUGCUGAGGCUGAAAGUGGAGUUUGCCUCCUAGACUUUCUCCCACCACCAUCUGCUGCUGCGGGGUGGAUGGGGUCUUGAGCUGCAUUCCUUCCCUGGGUGGCCUCCUGCUGCUUUAAAUACUGACUUAGUCUCUGGAGUCAUAAAAGAAAUGGAAGAAAACACAAAUAAACGGAAUGAUAUCUUGUGUUC